AAAUAUUUCUAUCACAGACUAUACAGAAUAACAUAUGCAAUUCUUCCUGAAACAAAGUUCAAUAAACAUUUCCAGUGCAGACAGACACAUCUGAGGAAACCCAACAAAAAAAACCUGCAAACAAACAAAACAAAACUUCAAAAAAGCCUUAUGACCUAAAAUGAUGACAAAAAAAGAAAGCUUAUUUUACAGCUCUGUCCCGUAAGAACAGCAAGAUGUGAAAAUGCCCAUGGGAAGUUACCUGUUUUUCUGAAAACUUAUAACCCCUACAAAACAUCUGUGUAACAACAAUAUAUUGCUUUGAAGAUCAUGAAUCUUUGGAAUUCUCCCAUACAAUAUAUGUAUGCAUGCAAUACAUCAACAUCUACCGCAGUUCCAUGUUACUUAAAAUGAAUGAAGUUGUUACCAAGUAAGAAGGUAAAAUUCUCCACUGCUCACGUGUCUGUUUGCAUUAUCUUUUCUUUGAGGAGAGUUUGUGUUUUUCCUUCAGCUCACUGGCAACCCCCCUCUAAGUCUUGCUGGGAUAAUUUAAGUAUUAUUGUCCUCUGGACAACUCAAGUUCAGAGACUGGCCUGUAGAUUAGAUCUACGGCAUAUUCAAGACACCAAAAGAUUCUUGGCCUUGGAUGCUGCCAGGAUUUCAGUUUAAUAUUGUUCUUGGCCCUAGAUUUUGUGCAACAGGUGAAAAUGCAAGGCCACAAAGGAACAUGCUCUUCUCUCUGACCAAACCUGUUAGAAGUGUCAAGAUGGAAAAAAAAAAAAAAUUAAAAUAUUCAAUGUUGAACAGCAACAUCCUAGAAGAAGAAGGCAUGGUCCCUUUCUUUUAAGCUGUACAUGUGCUAAUUCAAUGUCCAGAGGCAGGAGGAGACAGCUUUACAAAGCAUGUGAUCAUCAACUUCCCCAAAAGGAUGUGGUUUUUACUUGAGCCACCUUGAAGUUGUCUCUGACUCUGCAGCUGGCCCUGCUUUGCUGGAACACCUGAUCUUCAGAGGUCCCUCACAGCCUCUUGCCUGGUUCCCACUUUAUUUGAAGGGCUGCUUCUUCAGAAGCACACACACAGUGCAGAAUCCAGGUAAGGCUGGAACUAACUACACAAUAAGUAAAACAAAAUCUGCAAGGAUACUGGCUUCUAACUGCUAUGUAGAGGGCAAAUUAUGUUUCAUAAUCAGCAGCCUAUGGUUGUUGUUUUUAAGUUAACAUAAGCAAAGCUUUUUGUUUUUAUUUUAUCUAACAGUUUCAUAUUAUUUACCUCAAUUGUUAACUCCUAAUUCAAUUAAAAGCCUGAUGUCUGCUAACAUGCUAACUCCCCAAACAUUUUAGACCAGAGAUGUUUGAACUGAGCAAUUUUUGAGGGAGAAGGGUAAGACAAAAGAGACAUUUUGAAGAAGCCAGAAUUUUUGGUCUAUUGGUAAUAUGCCUCUUGCAAAUACCUUAACAAUCCGCAAGUGAAAUAAUUCUUAUCAAACAUUACAUUUUGUUUAUUUAGUUGUAUGUUGAGACUAUACAAGGAUAAAGUCAAGGAACCACUUUUGUGUCUGUGUUCAUCUAUUCCUACAUCUGGAAAUGAAGUCCUUGUCAUUUCCAUAAAAUUGUGUCAUUUAACAGAAAAUUGUCAAAGGCUUAAAGGGAAUUCAGAAAGUUAGAGGCACUUUUUCAGAGACUGUCUUCAAAUCAUCAUAUAUAAUUAUUUAGUAACAGGUACUUCAAUAUAUACUUAAGCACGUUUACACAAAGAAUGACUCUUGGCUUAAGCAGCUAUGAAGCUAAAUGCUGAUCAUUCAACAUUGAAUAAAAAUAUGCUCAUGAACAGGCCUCUUAGCAUCUCUGCUGGAAACAAGGUCUAUAGAGUCUUCCUGUUUGUCCCAGCCCUGCAUUAAUGCCAACAUGCUUGCUCUUAGACAUGAAAAUCUCCAUCUGACACGAGUCAGACGAAGGCAGACUGAAAUACAGGGCUGAGAACCAGUAGGGAAUUCUGGGUCUAAGCGGGAAUGACCAGAAGUGCAGGAAGUCAGAAGGGAGUGGAGAGGUCAGAAGGCACUUGGGACUCCUGAGCACCCAGCAACAUGGAUUUCUAUGGACUUGCCUUUCCUUUUGCAAACACUCCCUGGGAAUGCAUGUCCCUCAUCCUUGAAAAUUCUGAGGUUUCAAAAAAAUUGUAAAAAGGUGAAAAGAGCUGUGACUAUUACAAAAUCUCAAGACCGACAGACACUGUCAGCAGUGCGACUUAACUGCUCCCAGCUCUCAUCUCUCUCCAGCAGUGAAAAUGUGUUUCUCCCCUGGUAGCUGCCAAAGAGUUAACAAAAAGCACUCUUGACUGCAAGAGUUAAAUCCACAGCACUUCAUGAGCUCAAAGUCAACCCUGUCAACAUCUGGAGUUGGUUGACUUUUCCCCCUAAGGAUUUGCAGCACGGUGCUGGAUUUUUUCCAUGAAUUCCCUGCAUUCUCAAUCUCUCAGAUGGAUGUGACACACACCCAGCGCCCACCUCACAAACUCCUCUGGCCACUGCAAGGCUCCAGAGGACUUUGUGCUGUUUCCAUUUAUUCAGUGUUUAGGGCCAAGUCAUGCUUUUGGUCACAUACACAAGUCUCUCACUAGGUUCACAUGAGCAAAAGCAAAUGCUGCAGCCACGAGGUGUCAUUUACAAUUGUUUGUCACCGCUGUGUCUGGAUUUGCUACAAAUACAACUUGUAAAAGAAAAAAAAACCAAACCACAAACAAACAACAAAUCUCCAGAUACUGCUCUAAAACAUCUAUGAGAAAAACAGAAGGCACAUAAAAAAAAUCUGAACCAAGCUUGUAUUUAUCAAAUGUGGUUUUCUCUUAAUGACACAAUUCUUCUAAUUAUCAUUAGAAACACUAACGACAAUAAGGGAUAAAAAUUGAUACAAGUGAGUAAUUAAAAA